rnacentral:lncRNA from 1 species
AAAUAAAAGUAGUGCGAGUGCGAGAAAUAAAUGAAAGUAGUGUGAGUGCGGGAAAUAAAUGAAAGUAGUGCGAGUGCGAGAAAUAAAUAAAGUAAAGACAGUGCGGGAAAGUAAAGUAGAUAAAGGCAAAGUAAUAAAAACCUUCUCCAAUCGGAGGGUUGAAUAAAAUGCGAAACGGAAAUAAAAAUGGCGGCAGGAUUAACUUCC